rnacentral:rRNA from 1 species
AACGAACGCUGGCGGCAGGCCUAACACAUGCAAGUCGAACGCCCUCUUCGGAGGGAGUGGCAGACGGGUGAGUAACGCGUGGGAACCUACCCAAGGGUACGGAAUAACUCCGGGAAACCGGCGCUAAUACCGUAUACGUCCUUUUGGAGAAAGAUUUAUCGCCCCUGGAUGGGCCCGCGUUGGAUUAGCUAGUUGGUGGGGUAAUGGCCUACCAAGGCGACGAUCCAUAGCUGGUCUGAGAGGAUGAUCAGCCACACUGGGACUGAGACACGGCCCAGACUCCUACGGGAGGCAGCAGUGGGGAAUAUUGGACAAUGGGCGCAAGCCUGAUCCAGCCAUGCCGCGUGAGUGAUGAAGGCCCUAGGGUUGUAAAGCUCUUUCAGUGGUGAAGAUAAUGACGGUAACCACAGAAGAAGCUCCGGCUAACUCCGUGCCAGCAGCCGCGGUAA